GACGGGCAGCUUCCCGGAAACGAAAGUUUUUCGGUUCCGGGGGAAGUAUGGUUGCAAAGCUGAAACUUAAAGAAAUUGACGGAAGGGCACCACCAGGAGUGGAGCCUGCGGCUUAAUUUGACUCARCACGGGAAAACUCACCUGGCCCGGACACCGUGAGGAUUGACAGAUUGAKAGCUCUUUCAUGAUUCGGUGGUUGGUGGUGCAUGGCCGUUCUUAGUUGGUGGAGUGAUUUGUCUGGUUUAUUCCGAUAACGAGCGAGACUCUAKCCUACUAAAUAGUUACUGGAUAAUUUUAUCGUCCAKACAACUUCUUAGAGGGACAAGCGGUGUUUAGCCGCAUGAAGUUGAGCAAUAACAGGUCUGUGAUGCCCUUAGAUGUCCAGGGCUGCACGCSCGCUACACUGAAGGAAUCAGCGUGCUGUAACCAUUACCGAAAGGUAUUGGUAACCCCUUGAAAAUCCUCCGUGAUCGGGAUCGGGAAUUGCAAUUAUUUCCCUUGAACGAGGAAUUCCUAGUAAGUGUGAGUCAUCAGCUCACGUUGAUUACKUCCCUGCCCUUUGUACACACCGCCCGUCGCUGCCCGGGACUGAGCCGUUUCKAKAAAAGCGGAGACUGCUGUUUCAAUACCUUUCAAGGGUAGAGAUUCUUUGGUGGAAACUGCUUUAAU
rnacentral:rRNA from 1 species